UUUUUCCAUAAUAUUGAGUAAAUGAGGACCACGAGUGUUGCUGUAGGUCUUUUGAAGAAAGACGAUAACAUUUAGAAUGUCUUGUGACGUUUUAAUGGAUAGCAUGGUCCAUUCAAGUACUAUGGUAUCUGUAUUUUGCAUAAGCUGAACUGAAUAUCUGGCAGCUCUCAGGAAGAUCGCAUUCCUGUAGCAUGUGCCAGUACACAUCAAGCCCGUUUUACAAUGUAACGAACACCAGCAGGCCUCCAAAUGCAUUUCUGUGAUAAACUCCUCCUGAUGAGCUAAAUGGAUGUGUGUCGUAGCAAAGCUAAUGAGCUCUUGAGCUAAACAAGCUUUCUUUGUUAUAAUGUGAAAUGUGAACUAUGUGUGUGUGUAUUUUGAUUGAUCUGUACUAUCAUGUUACAAUAAUACUGUGUUUUCUUUAUUAAACCCUGAAUCCAAGUAAUGUAAAACAUGUUAGCUUGCAUAAUGUGUAACUAUAGCUAGCUUUUGUUUUGUUUUUUUCCUACUAGAAAUAUUAGGCUCAUUUGCUAUUGGAAGAAUCGGUGGUUCACAAAAAUGCUUUGCAUGCACUUGAGUACUAGACUACUAUUUCUAGUAGAAAUGUCCACCUGCUGGUACAGUGUCAAUCACAGUAGCAGUGUGGAAUGACGAGACAUAUUGAAAAGCUGUAUUAUUACACAUCAGCUGCUCUUGUUGGCAGAUGUGGCCAGAUUUCUGCUGGCCAGUUUCAUGUCCUGUGGCUUCCCUCAUUCCUGCAGGCCUGCCUGAUCUCAAACAAAAGCUCUCUGUUAGGUGCUUGAAACCAUAGCGCUCUUGGAGCCAACCUUGGGUGACGAGAUUAGAAGUGCCAGUCCAGGAUCUGUUCAGCUCGGCCGGUGGGGUCAGGUGGUACAGCGGGUGGCUGCCGUACAUGGAGACUGUGCUCGGACCAUAUGGAAAAGGACGGACCACCACAGUUGUAUCCUAUGGCAAAAAUAUAUUUUUCCACACUUACAAUAUAUUUUGAGACUCUGUGGACCACAGGAGAGCAUGUAGGAAGCAAGAGAUUUCAGCUUGAUCCAGAGCUCUGUUAGGACUUUUUGUCUCAGUGGUCACGAGCCACCUCUGAUCGUCCUGAAGGAGCCAUUCUGUUUAGAAACUCGAUCCGUCUGAAAUUACUGCAGCACUGGAGUUUUGGGUCCCUGAACCGCUCUGUAAUUAAUCACCGUGGGCCAAAUCUAAUAUGUCGUGUAGCAGGACAGAGGAACAGUGUGGACAGGUGGACAUUAAACUUGAUCAGAGGGUCGGACUAGUUCUCAUUUCCUGCCUGAGGUCUCGAAUGAAUGUUCGCCACCGAUAUUAAACAACCACAGAAUGAUUAUUGCAUUGCCAAAUGUAAUAUGAUUUCAUUUACUUUUUAGUAGGUGUUAGUUUUUGUCAGUACCUGCACACAAUUCUUGUGUCUAAUGAAAGUGUCACAGUAGGGCCUUUUUUUUUUUUUUUGUAUUAGCCUACACAUUUUCUGAAAUGUUAUGUUUAUAUAUGCAAAUGUGUCAAAUUUAUCUAAUUAAAUAUGCUCUAAUUUGCAUAGAAUUUACGAACCGAAAUCGUAUUAAAUUAAAUUUGUUGAGUUAAAAGUUUUUUGGAUACAUUUUUGGGAUGUAUCAACUGUUUUUGCUUUUUUUUUUUUUUUUUAUCACUCCAUAAAUCAGAACAUACUCUCAACAGCCAAAAACCUGGUGAAAUAUAGGCUAUAUUAACUUUUUUUUUAAGGAUUUGGGAUGUUUUCUUUCUCCACUCUGAAAGAACGCAUGUUAUGGAAGCAAUGUUUUAAGCAGGUAUUUGCAAAAGAACGACGUAAAAUCUUUGCGUUCCAUAAACAGUAACAGACGUUUGGUGAACUGUUCCUUUAAGAACGUUUCAAAACUAUUUGAAUGACUGACUUACAAAGAAAUUAAUUAAAUAAAUGAAAAGAAGAGCGAGUGUGGACAGAACUUAUUACACACCGGUCUCGAACUCAGUAAAGCCAAACACAGUGUUGAAAUCUUGGAUUGGCACUCAAAGGAUUGUCAACAGAUGCUGAUAACGAGUUUCCAGAUAACAGACACUCUUAUGAAUGUGUCUUUUUGGAGUUUGAAUGGGUUUUAUCUCGCUGUUAGUUUUGGAUAUUAAGCAAACAGUAAUGAGCUUGCGUCUUGAAUUACGUGCAAAAACCGUCGACUGAGUGUGUCGCUGUUUGUCAGUAAAAGGUAGGUCUUUUCUCACAGAUAUCAACCUCUAGACUGGAUGUUUAAACCCUUACGCCUUAAAUUAAAGUAUAAUAUUUCUAAAGGCUUCUCGCGCCCUUCCGGCCUGUUGGGAAAGUGGGCCGCGGGGGAAGCUAAUGCACUGUGAGGGUCAAGCUUCACUGGCCGUCUCCAUUUUGAAACCCUGCCUGUGGUUUCAUCGGCCUCCCGUAAGUUUGGGGUGACGGGAACAUUUGCUCACAGAGACCUUAAGUCACGCUCGGACAGGCGGGCCGCGAGCGCUUUGUUCGGAGCUGUGAGGUGGCUUUUGUCCGCGGUACACCUUCCUCUUCCUCCUCAUCCUCUCCUCUUGUUCAGCCCAGGGCCAGGUUUAGACCACCGAGAUGUAACGCGAGAUCGUGUCGUGCUCCAAAGACCCGGUGGAGACACGCGUGGAAACUUAACUCUUUCUCUGGGUAAGGGUCAAGGAAUCCAGUCUGCGGUUAAAUCUUUUAAAAAAGUUAAGACAUCAGAGCCUAGAUAAGACUUUCUUUCUUUGACUAAAACCGCUGAAAUAUGAUCCAUCUGAUAACGUUUAACUCUGUGUGCAGCCGCGCAAACUCGACUUGCUUUG